UAGUUACUCUUCUCGGUGGUGUGAC
rnacentral:piRNA from 1 species